UACGAAGGGGGCUAGCGUUGCUCGGAAUUACUGGGCGUAAAGCGCACGUAGGCGGCUUUCUAAGUCAGGGGUGAAAUCCUGGAGCUCAACUCCAGAACUGCCUUUGAUACUGGAGAGCUCGAGUCCGGGAGAGGUGAGUGGAACUGCGAGUGUAGAGGUGAAAUUCGUAGAUAUUCGCAAGAACACCAGUGGCGAAGGCGGCUCACUGGCCCGGUACUGACGCUGAGGUGCGAAAGCGUGGGGAGCAAACAGG
rnacentral:rRNA from 1 species